UGUGGAGUCUCCCUCACUGGAGAUAUUCCAAGAACCAUCUGGACACAAUCCUGUCCCAUGUGCUCCAUGAUGACCCUGCUUCAGCAGGGAGAUUGGACCAGAUGACCCACUGUGGUCCCUUCCAACCUUACCCAUUCUGUGAUUCCGUGACCUUCUGCUACUUAUGUAAGCUUGUAGCAUCCAUAACAUCCCAUUGCAGGGAGUUCCAGCACGUCACUGUAUGUAUGAACAAUCACUUUUCUUGCUUUCCUGACAUUUGUGACACCGUCUGAUGAUCCACCCCUGCUUCUUUCUUUGGAAAGUAAGUAAAACAAUUUUGCCUUCUCUGUGCCAGUCACCACUCCGUGGGCUCCACAAGAUCCCCUUUCAGUCUGGUCAUAUAUUGGACUGCAGAGGUCCCAGUACAGAUCCAUUUUUUUAUCAAUGGAUGGACUUUCUCUCACUGUUUUGUAACUUGUGAAGUAAGAAACAGAAAGCCAGGCAUCGGUACCAGGACAUUUCAUUCUGGAACACUACAGAAACAGCCUCCCACACAAUAAAUCAUGGGAGAACUGAACGCAAGGUCUCUGAGGCAAUUUCCCCGGACAGCAGCAAUCUCUCUGUUCCAUUUGGAAAAGGAAAACAUGGAAAAACUUCACAAGUCAAGGAAAAAAACAAGUAGGAACAGACAGAACAUAUGCUGUUAAAUGUGGGAGGGUGGAGAGAGUACUUCCUUUGGCCCACAUGAGGAGGAAAGAGCUGAUUAGCAGGGCUAAUGGAAUACAGGACUUGUCCAACCUGGUACAUGCAGAUAAGAUCUGACACUGCAAGACCUCAGACUACCUGGCUGAGGGGGAACAGUCAGCCAGCAAGAAGCACCAAGUGAUGGGAAAAUUUGGCAAUGGUCAGGGAAGAUUCUACUUGCAAAAGAAAAAGAAAAGUCUCCCUUGGAUUGUGACAGCCAGGUCAUGGCUGAUUUACAGACAGCAGCAAAAAAGCCAUCUGAAGGCCAGUCCAACCAACUCUGCAGACCUCAGUGCUGUGACUUGACACAGCAAGCCCAUGUCAUAGGUAUACAAGAUUUACAACAAACUGGAAAUACCCAGCAUCUGCUCAGCAAUAACAAGAUCAGCAGCCAUACUUGAUUUGAAGCCAAGGCCUAAAGAAGCCCCACCUUUCUCCCCCCAAACAGGUUUUACAAACUCUGUUUUCAAAGGAGAGGGAUUUUACAAUGACAACAACAGCAGGAAUGAGGAUAUAACUAAGCAAAGAGAUUGGACAACUGAGAAUAUAAUUUGCAAUAGAAGAGCUUAUGAGCUACUUCCAAUGGCAUUUACAGAAUCUCUGCUCAGGGAUUCUUACACUGAUGUCAAUUCACAGAUCCUCCACUACAGACAAACUCCCCUUAAAAAGUUUGCAUAUACAGAUGUUUUAAAAUACUUAAUGACGUAGU